CUGCCCAUCAGAAGGGGAUAACACUUGGAAACAGGUGCUAAUACCGUAUAACACUAUUUUCCGCACGGAAGAAAGUUGAAAGGCGCUUUUGCGUCACUGAUGGAUGGACCCGCGGUGCAUUAGCUAGUUGGUGAGGUAACGGCUCACCAAGGCCACGAUGCAUAGCCGACCUGAGAGGGUGAUCGGCCACACUGGGACUGAGACACGGCCCAGACUCCUACGGGAGGCAGCAGUAGGGAAUCUUCGGCAAUGGACGAAAGUCUGACCGAGCAACGCCGCGUGAGUGAAGAAGGUUUUCGGAUCGUAAAACUCUGUUGUUAGAGAAGAACAAGGAUGAGAGUAAAAUGUUCAUCCCUUGACGGUAUCUAACCAGAAAGCCACGGCUAACUACGUGCCAGCAGCCGCGGUAAUACGUAGGUGGCAAGCGUUGUCCGGAUUUAUUGGGCGUAAAGCGAGCGCAGGCGGUUUCUUAAGUCUGAUGUGAAAGCCCCCGGCUCAACCGGGGAGGGUCAUUGGAAACUGGGAGACUUGAGUGCAGAAGAGGAGAGUGGAAUUCCAUGUGUAGCGGUGAAAUGCGUAGAUAUAUGGAGGAACACCAGUGGCGAAGGCGGCUCUCUGGUCUGUAACUGACGCUGAGGCUCGAAAGCGUGGGGAGCGAACAGGAUUAGAUACCCUGGUAGUCCACGCCGUAAAC
rnacentral:rRNA from 1 species